rnacentral:rRNA from 1 species
UCAGGAUGAACGCUAGACGGCAGGCUUAACACAUGCAAGUCGAGGGGCAACGCGAGUAGCAAUACUUGGCGGCGACCGGCGCAAGGGUGCGUAACGCGUGAGCAACAUGCCCGUAAUCAGGGGGAUAAUCCAGGGAAACUUGGUCUAAUACCCCAUAGUAAUUUUGUAAGGCAUCUUAUAAGAUUUAAAGCUUUGGUGGAUACGGAUUGGCUCGCGUGACAUUAGCUGGAUGGUAAGGUAACGGCUUACCAUGGCUAUGAUGUCUAGGGGUUCUGAGAGGAAGGUCCCCCACACUGGAACUGAGACACGGUCCAGACUCCUACGGGAGGCAGCAGUGAGGAAUAUUGGACAAUGGAUGGAAAUCUGAUCCAGCCAUGCCGCGUGAAGGAAGAAGGUCCUAUGGAUUGUAAACUUCUUUUGUAUGGGAGCAAUAAGGCCUACGAGUAGGCUGAUGAGAGUACCAUACGAAUAAGCACCGGCUAACUCCGUGCCAGCCGCGGC